AUAGCCUCUGCUCAAUUCUCUAGGGCUUCGACGCACACAUCCUUCGUCUCUUGUCAUUUUAUCUCCCUUUCUCCGAACUAGCCUCAUCUCGCUUCCGCCCUUCGUAGCCACGGCAUCCUGAAAGUUAUGAGUGAUCUGCUACAACAUUCACCAGCUGUAAUUUAUACAGAUUCAUCAUUUUAUGCAUUUGACUUGACUUUUGAUGAAGCCAAUGCCAAUGCUCCUAUCAGUGAGAGUACAGCAGAUGAAAAAGUAAUGGUGCGAGACAAGAGAGAGAGAUCCUACCAGGAACUUACUGAAAAUGGUUGGCGGUGGCUGGAAAAAUGAGGGGGCUGUGCAAGUAAGUUUCUCUAUGUGUCAACUGGAUUUUCUUGUGUUUAAAACUGAAGGUCCCGUGGGAUUUUUAUAGAUGAGGGAGAGGGAGAUGCCGUGAGUCUUGAGGAUAAAUUGGAUAAAGUCUAGAGUUUAGAGUUUGAAUUCAACUAAAGCUUGGAGUACUCCCGCGAGGAAAGGAAAACUGAAAACAUAAGAGAUUUUGAACUGUUUGAAUAAAUAGUUUUCUGAUUAGGAAAAUCAAAUAAAAAGGGACUUAUAGUUAUCAAGAUGAAUCCUAUUCAAAAUUAAAUUACUACCUCAAAACAUAUCUAGUAAUAAUAAUAAUAUAAUAAAAAUACUGUGGGUCUGGGUGUUACAGGUUCUUCACAUUCGACGGAAACCAGCUUCAGAAUCUUCACCUAGGGUUUCUCUCUCAUCACGCUAUCUCGCUCUUUUUAUCUCAUAGCUUGCCUCUCUGUUUUUUUAUUUUUUAUUUUUUAUUUUAUUUUUUUAAUUUAUUUCCUGGUUUUUGUCUGAAAUCAGGCCUAUGAUUAUGUAGGCCAAUGGUGAAGUGAUUUAGAGCUGGUUUUUGUUUGGGUCGGUGAUAAUGAAAUUUUGGUAGAUUAUUAUGAACUGGAGCUGUGUUUUAGAGUUGGUUUGUGAAAAAAUCCAAGUCCAUAGUGUUGAUGCUCUGGUUUUGUGUUGAAUGCCAAUGGUGAUGUGAUUUAUAGCCAGUUUUUGUUUGGGUCUAUGAUUAUGAAUUUUUGGUAGAUUAUUAUGAAUUGGGGCUGUGUUUUAGAGUUAGUUUGUGAAACAAUCCAAUUCCUUAGUGUUGUUGCUCUGGUUUUGUGUUGAGAGAUAGAAGAGAGAGACAGACGUGAAUACCUGGUUGUGACUUGGGAGGGAGGAGUGCGCUCUGCUGACGUUGGAAAAUGAGCGUAUGCUCUAUUUGCAGAAAGGAAGAAGGGCGAACAAAUGGGACUUCCGUACGAUAAAGGAUUUAUUGCGGUGAGUUCCGUACGAGAAAGGGAGAAGUAGCUCUGUUUGCGAAGUACUUCUAAAAUUUUUUUUAAUCCAGGUCAGCUGGGAGUACGGUUUGCUCUACUUAAGGGGGCUUCCCUUCAGCAGAAUUGUAAUUUUUAUAUCUAAAACCUAGCUCGUUUCUAGAAUAACAUCAUUAUUUUUAUAUGGCUGGUUCUUAGUCUUGACCAUUAUUGAUGGGUUUGAUACGCAGGCCUUUGAUUGACUUUGCUUAUCCUGUGCUUGAUCAUUGUAUAUAGUUAUAUACAUUGAAUACGCCAGCCGAACAAUAUGGAUAGAUCUUCCCAAAUGGCUCUUGGUUGGCUGAAAUUGUGUAGAGGAAGGAUUCACGGAGUAUCUUGUAGAGGCAAUCAAAUCAGCUUCUGUAAAUUUGCUAUUCAGGCGCUUGAACCGGCGUUGAUCUCAUCCAGACAAAUAGAAGCAGGGUGGCAAGCAAUUACCUGAAAUUUGCAGCGGAGCGGACAAAUAUGGACUCGAGUGUACUGUCAUUCUACCUUGCAAAUAAAUUGUAAACAUAAACCUUAAAGAAAAAGAAAGAAAAAGUGUAGAAAGUUAAAAACGCACAUUGAUAAGAAUAAAGCAGAAUGAUUCUAUUUUCUUUU